UGAAUUUGUUGCUUUUCAGAGAGGGGCAGUCGGUCUGUACAUGCGUGAGGUGGCGAGAGGCGUGUCCAGGGGGCGGCUAGUAGCGUGUGCCACCGUGGAAAUAUGUACAGACAUAAAGAAGACGCCCUCAAGAAAGAUGUGGUGAAGACAGUGUUAUGCACCACCACACCACCAUUACACUUCCUGUCUUGCUUGGUGAAUGAACAGAGCACCACUAACAUCACAUCAUUGCAUCACCACAUCACCACACCACCACCUCCUGUCCUGCCCCAGUGAAAUAGAACAUCACCACCACAUCACCACAUCAAGAGUCAGUGAUUGCCUGCAGCCAGCCCUAGCCUGACCCGCCAGACAUGUGUCCCAGGCCUUCCCCUAGCCUGUAGAGCCAUGUAAGCCUGCAGGUCAAGGUCAGGUAAAAAAAAAACAGGCCGUAACGUAAAAGAUCAAGACAUUUACGAAGACUGUCUUUGAUGGGCUCAGGUCCUCCGUGCAGACCACCAACAAGCAAGAGAUUGACGAAAUACAGGUUGUGAAGACGCUGCAAGCUGAUGCCUUCAGAGAUCGCGAAGGUCCUCACCUUGUUGUAGGAGAGCUGACAACAUGUACCAGCCAGCAGCAACUCCCAUGCUAACAGGCUUCUCCCCCGCGGGUAUGUAGCACCUCUGGAGUCGCUCGAUGAAGAAGAGGAUGCUGGCGAGGCCUGUCGUGUUAGCCGGGAUGCGCCGGUACAGAGCUGUGUCCGUUGGGGUUGUGUAGGCAAGCAUCUUCUUGGCAAGGUCCUCGUAGGUGGCCGCAAACAGUUUACGGCUGUGGGAUGAGAACUUGUCUUGUGAAUGUGACGUUGGGAGGAGGGAAGCACAGGGGAAGAGGAGGACGAGGAGGAAGAGAGUUAAGAGUCACAAGAGGAGGAGGAAGGUGGAAAGAAAGAGGAAGGAGAGGAGGAGGAGGAGGAGGAGGAAGAUGGAGAAGGAAAGGAGAAAGAUAAGAAGGAAGGAAAUGCCGCAGAAGGAGAAGAGCAAUAAGAAAUUAGAAUUGACAGAGAAACCAGACAAGGGACUGCAUUUGAAGAAGCACAAGAACCAAGAAAUUACAUCAUUCAAUGAAAUGACAACAUAAUCUAAAAUAGAAAUCAAAAACGUCACAAGACAGAAUAGUGAGCUGCAUGCACUUAUCACAGAGUAUAAAGUCACUCCCUCAGAGGAAAAAGACAAGGAUGGCAUGUCUUCAUGUGAGAACUCAGAAGCUAAAUGUACAGAUACCAAGGGGAAAUUGCUGGGUCAAGUGGCUACACUGACAUCUGAGGUUAGCAGGUUGGAGAGUGAGUGCAGCAGUCUUCAGGUUCAGCUAGACUGUGAGAGGGAUAAGUAUAACAAACUGCUGGGAGAAUCUCUUGCUCAUGAAAAGUUGUCUGAAGAUGUCAUAACUGAACCAAAAGGAGAAACAACAGGAUUGGGAGGAACUGAGCUUUAACAGAAGCUGCAACAACUGCAGGAGGCUCACAGGGUCCUGGAGAGCAGGUUAACUUGCAGCAUGAAGGAGGUGGCUGAGCUAAGUGACAGGAAGUAGCAGCUUAAGCAUGCUGUAGUGCAUGAGGAGACAGAGUCCAUCGGUGUAUGCAUGUUUUUUGCUCAUUUGAAUCAUCUGUAAAAGUGAAGUGGAGGAAGUGUUUACUGUUUACUGUAUGCCAUUUCCUUGGUCUUUUAAUGAAGAAUUUUAUCCUUCUUCAGGUGACUACAUCACCAUCUACCAGUUGCAGCGAGGAGUGAUGAAGCAACAAGCUCGAGAACGCGAGUUAGACCUUGCCAGCCUCCAUCAUGAAUGAGAGGAAAUGAAGCAAAACCACUCUGCAGGAUUUGAUAUCAAAGCUGGUGCAGGAAAAGGAAGCAGAUCAUGACCUUCAGCAGCUCGAGAAGAUAAGCAGCGUCCUUAAGAGUCCAGUUGCUAUCUUUAGCAGUGUUGGAACCAGUGAGUCUGAGACACCCACCAGCAGUGGAAAGCUGGCUGACGAGCGCCUCAAGCACUCUGAAAAGGUGGAGCAACAACAAGAAACAGAAAAUUGCAUCCAUCAUUCUUUGCCUGAGGAGGGAAUUGAUGCUCUGUUGACCCUUCACACUGAUGUCCCUCAUGAGGAGGCAGAAUAUGAAUCCUACAGAACUUGCCCAUAGAAAGACCAAAACUGUUACUGCUGCCACACUGCCACCACUUCCACUGACACCAAAAGCCCAACUGUGCAGAGAAUCCUGGACCUCCGCAAUGAAAUGGAGUCCACCAGUCACCUGGAGCACUUUAGCCUCCAAAA